GAACGGUGAACUUCCUCACAGUCCAGCCCGGGCGUUGGGAUUUUGUAACCGGCGACCAGUGAAUAGAGACAUCAAAACAAAAAACAAAACAAGUUAAAAAAGGACGACUGAUAUGGAUAAUGAUGAGCAUACCAAAGAAAGAAAAAUCCUCUCUCAACUUGCGGUCUUAUCUACCAGCCCCUCCCCUGUUCCCCCUUUUCGACUCUUCUCUGCUUUUCCAGUCUUAAACAAAUCACGGAUUGUCCCUUUCCUCCCCAUUUUCUUCUACUUAGAUUCUUCUACUACUCAUUCUUAAUCUGAUCCACAAAAGCCACACUUCAAAAUUAACAAUACAUUCUCACAAGACUUGUAAAAUAAAAAUAUACAUUGAUCAUUCAGAGUGGGGAAAAUCAAAGCCCCGCAGGGCUCUUGCAAUUGACAAUUACAAUAUUAUCCUCGAAAUCCAAAAUCUAGAUAAGCCCCAACAAUAAUAAUAGUUAACAAAUACUACUUCUUGCCGACGCUGGACACGCUUUCACAACGAACCCACUGAAAACUUCCCCAAGUAAAAAGACAUCACAGUUCUUCGAGUUAAUUAAACAUUUACGCAAAUAACCCAUAUUUUUCUCAUCUCCCGGCCGCCCUUCGUUACACUGCUGCUGCUGCCUGUACAAAAACCUUCCUUUUGCAGUUCCUUUUUCAACCGUUUCCUCCUCCCCGACUGUAAUUUCCCCCCCGCCACAUCUGCAAAUCGAUCGUCCCCAAAACAAAACAGACACCUCCCAUUUUUGUCACUGCCGCCGCCGCAACAUUACUUCCCACUUCUGCUAAUGCUUGAUGAUAAAUCUAGAUAGUAAUAUCAGUAAAAUAUGUACACAAAAUCUUCCCUUCUCCGUCUUCCUUUUUUUUUUUUUCCUUUUUUGGCUUAAAUUUUAACCACCUGCUAAACCCCAAAAGCCAUCGUCGUCCGGCGGCAACCGCUAUAUUUACAAACACAUACCAGAAUGAAAAACCCAGCCACACAACGGAACCGGAUUCGCUGAUCCAUUUUCAGUAUUUCACUGAACUAGAUCGGAAACCCAAUCGACAUCCGGACCGCCGGUAGCUGGGCCCAUCCCUGGCGGGAACCGCGCCCGCCACGAGUUCGCUGAUCCAUUUUCAGUAUUUCACUGAACUAGAUCGGAAACCCAAUCGACAUCCGGACCGCCGGAAGCUGGGCCCAUACCUGGGUCGACUCGCUCCAGCAUAUUGUUCUCCUUGCUAAGCCUUUCGAACAUCCUCGCCCUGAUAUCUCUACCGGAUUCGACCCUUUCCAUCGCCGGCUCCUCCUCCUCGCAGACU
rnacentral:lncRNA from 1 species